rnacentral:ribozyme from 15 species
GAAAUAACAAAAAUAUUGAGAAUCGUGGAAAAAAAACCUUGCUUGAUCGCUUAUUGUUUGUAUUCCUGUUUUUUUUCGUUACUUGCAUUGUUAUUCUCUUUGCGAUGGUCGCAAAGACCUUUAUAGCAAACUCUCGAUCGAAAGGUGUGCAACCUAUUGAUCAAGAAUCAAGUGGAGGAAAAGAAGAAGAGGCGAACAAUUCUGAC